AGUGAACGCUGGCGGUAGGCCUAACACAUGCAAGUCGAACGGCAGCACAGUAAGAGCUUGCUCUUACGGGUGGCGAGUGGCGGACGGGUGAGGAAUACAUCGGAAUCUACUUUUUCGUGGGGGAUAACGUAGGGAAACUUACGCUAAUACCGCAUACGACCUACGGGUGAAAGCAGGGGAUCUUCGGACCUUGCGCGAUUGAAGGAGCCGAUGUCGGAUUAGCUAGUUGGCGGGGUAAAGGCCCACCAAGGCGACGAUCCGUAGCUGGUCUGAGAGGAUGAUCAGACACACUGGAACUGAGACACGGUCCAGACUCCUACGGGAGGCAGCAGUGGGGAAUAUUGGACAAUGGGCGCAAGCCUGAUCCAGCCAUACCGCGUGGGUGAAGAAGGCCUUCGGGUUGUAAAGCCCUUUUGUUGGGAAAGAAAAGCAGCAGGUUAAUACCCCGCUGUUCUGACGGUACCCAAAGAAUAAGCACCGGCUAACUUCGUG
rnacentral:rRNA from 1 species